GUUACCUGUCUGCCUAGGCGUGCAUCCCGCUCUGGCUGUCCUGAGCGCUUAAAAGGCGCCUGCCGCUGUUGUCAGCGUUUGCGUGCACGUACUUGAUCCUCGCGCGGGUGUAUGUACGCUGCCGUGUGACCCAUUUUACGGAUAGGGGAGCGGCGGCUCAGAGUGCUUGAGCAAAGAGCCUGAGGUCCUGUUGUAGCUGCCAUUGAGACCUUGCGCGCCGGCUCCAGGUCCGCACACCAGCAGCCUGGAAGCCUGGUGAUGCGUAACCCUGUAUCCCAAGAUUGUUAAGAAAACACUUUAGUAAUUCCGAGAAAUAGUUCUUGAAAGAACUCGUCUUUGAAUGGAAAGUAUUGGAACAGUUGUGCUGCUGCCAGCGAUCCGUGGGAGCUGUGUACAGAUUCAGCC
rnacentral:lncRNA from 10 species